AACGAACGCUGGCGGCGUGGAUUAGGCAUGCAAGUCGAACGUGAAGGAGCCUUCGGGCUCUGGAAAGUGGCAAACGGGUGAGUAGCGCGUGAGAAACCUACCUUCCAGUUGGGGACAACACUUCUAACGAGGUGCUAAUACCGAAUACAAUCUUUUCAUCACAUGGUGGAUUGAUAAAAGGCGGCCUCUGCUUGCAAGCUGUCACUGGAAGAUGGUCUCGCGUCCCAUUAGCUAGUUGGUGAGGUAACGGCCCACCAAGGCUAUGAUGGGUAGCCGGCCUUAGCGGGUGUCCGGCCACACUGGGACUGAGAUACGGCCCAGACUCCUACGGGUGGCAG
rnacentral:rRNA from 1 species